AGGUGAUAUCUCCUAACCUCUAUCAAUUGGAGAUACUCGACCAUGCUGUGGGUGAAAACCUUAGAUGCUUGUCAUCAGUGGUGUGGUGUGAGGGAGGGUUCAAUGCCCA
rfam:Bacillus hemicellulosilyticus JCM 9152 DNA, contig:contig_8.